rnacentral:rRNA from 1 species
GUGGGGAAUCUUCCGCAAUGGACGAAAGUCUGACGGAGCAACGCCGCGUGAGUGAUGAAGGUCUUCGGAUUGUAAAGCUCUGUUAAUCGGGACGAAAGAGCCUAGUGUGAAUAAUGCUAGGAAGUGACGGUACCGGAAUAGAAAGCCACGGCUAACUACGUGCCAGCAGCCGCGGUAAUACGUAGGUGGCAAGCGUUGUCCGGAAUUAUUGGGCGUAAAGCGCGCGCAGGCGGAUCUGCCAGUCUGUCUUAAAAGUUCGGGGCUUAACCCCGUGAUGGGAUAGAAACUAGAGAUCUAGAGUAUCGGAGAGGAAAGUGGAAUUCCUAGUGUAGCGGUGAAAUGCGUAGAUAUUAGGAAGAACACCAGUGGCGAAGGCGACUUUCUGGACGAAAACUGACGCUGAGGCGCGAAAGCCAGGGGAGCGAACGGGAUUAGAUACCCCUGUAGUCC